rnacentral:rRNA from 1 species
CGGCGGACGGGUGAGUAAUGCCUAGGAAUCUGCCUGGUAGUGGGGGACAACGUUUCGAAAGGAACGCUAAUACCGCAUACGUCCUACGGAGAAAGCAGGGACCUUCGGGCCUUGCGCUAUCAGAUGAGCCUAGGUCGGAUUAGCUAGUUGGUGAGGUAAUGGCUCACCAAGGCGACGAUCCGUAACUGGUCUGAGAGGAUGAUCAGUCACACUGGAACUGAGACACGGUCCAGACUCCUACGGGAGCAGCAGCA